CUGGCCCGUUCCCUCGCAGCAGUGAUUGUGCACUUGGCAGGAGCCCGGCGGAGGCGCUCCAGCAGUUUGCUGAUGCAGAAUUCUCUUUGCAUUAAAUGGGAACGUUAUCUGACUUCAGUAAACAUGGUGCCAUUGAAACACGCUGACUUGCCCGUUCGUUUCCAAAGAUGGACUUGGUCAGCUGGUGGCAAUUCUGGCCAUUCCACCUGGGCAGCACCAGUAUGGAUGCGGAUGGGGACAGCCAAGGCAGGACUUCUCACGUCUGGUUAUGCAUGCUUACUGCUCUGCCAGCCUGAGGAACGGCCGCCUUUCUUAAUUACUGGGCGCUUAUGUACAGCAUGGCUGUCACAGUGAGGAGUGCGACCACUUCCCCAGCAAAAAGGCUGCAAAGAAUUACUGUGCAACAGAACCGUCCGGAUACCGUAACAAUGCAAUUAAAAAUUUAAAGCAGCAAGCAGAUAAAUUAAGGACAACAACA
ensembl:lncRNA